rnacentral:tRNA from 1 species
AGAGCCGUGCCUGAAUCAAAGGGUCACUUUGAUAGAGUGAAAUAUGAAGGUUAAACCCCAUCCGACUCUU